UGGAAAAAGAUUUAAAUUGGUUUUUACGAUUUAAGGCGUCACUUCGAAGCUGUAACCUCACUCUCGAUCUAAAUGCAAACACACUCAGAAUGGAAUUGACGAUAUGAACCUAGCUUUUAUAUUAUGUCUAAGCACACAAACGCACUAAAAACAUGUGAGUAGUAUUUCCUUUCAGAGCAGAGCUUUUCGUUUUGUUUCGCGUCGAGUCGACUGCUCGUAGACCUGAAAACUGCUACUGAAUCUCGCCCAUCAGCAGUGCCUUGAGAUUGCCAUUACGAAGUGAACGUCUGGUCUCGAAACUGUAAAACCUAGCACACGUAAUAUUGAAUGCUACUCGAAACGGACGGGGAAAUCGGAACAAUAAUCGUCAAAAACAUGAGCGACAGAUAAGUAUUCGUCUUGGCCUCUAUGGGGCUGUCCAAUCCGGAGACGCCCACGAACUCGGGACAGCAGGCGUCUCAGCAAGACCACUCCAGGUGCAAUUCUAGCAAUGAGCCCACAGCCACGGAGUACUUUCACUGCUUGGUGGACCAACUGCCUGAGGCACACGACAUGGCCGCUCAGAUGACGAGAUCGACGGCCUAAAUUUUCCGAGCGGAGAUUCAAAGCUGCGUCUGAUCACUUUCCAAGAGUCAAGCAGCCUGAUUUUCGACCUGCUCUAUAUCUGCUCUAUAUCGCUGUCGUUCUUCAGAUGACGCUGCCUAUGGGUUAUGCCCAGAAGCUGGGUUUCCAAUGAAAGGCUUUCCGUGUCCCAAAUAUUCCGGUGAAAGGCAUUCUGGAUGAACUUUAUGAUUGCUCAGAAGUCCUUGCACAGCUUUCGGUUUUCGUCUUUGACUGAACGUCAACAACGUCUUGUUCGCCAACUUGUCGGCAAUUGAAAACGAAUCGUACGGAAGGAUCAUGGCCUGCGUUCAGUCGGUCAGUGGGGAGCAACAGCAGACGCUGGACGAAAACCGAAAGCUGCGGAAGGACUUUUGCGCAAUCAUAAAGCUCCUACAGAAUGCCUAUCACCGGAACAUUUGGGACACGGACAGCCUUUCACUGGAAACCCAGCUUCUGGGCAUAACCCAUAAGCAGCGUCAUCCAGAGAGCGACAGUGAAAAUGUAAGAUAUAGAGCAGGUCGAAAAUAAGGUGCUUCACUCAAUCGGUGUGUAUCUCCUCCAUAGAGCGAUAGUGAAUGCGGCAGGUGCUGCCUUAAUGCCUCCUCCAGUCCCCAUUCAGCUUCUCUAGCUUCUGGGCAUAGCCCACGAGCAGCAUCAUCCGGAGAGCGACAAUAAAAAUAGCGAUAGCGAAUGCUGCCGGUGCUGCCUUAAUGCCUCCUCCAGUCCCCAUUGAAGAUAACCUAUUCGAGUCUUCCGUUACUACUGAUGUUGUUUUUAGCUAAAUUGUAUUCAUAAAUUUAAGAUUGCCGUUGUUCAGCAGCGUAGCUUGCGAUAAAUAUAAUAAUACUCAUCGAAUUAUGCUGCUGCCAAAGCUCAGUAGCUCAAAAUUUAAACAUAAACAGUUAAAUCACAAAAAACAAAAACAUUCUCGUUUCAAAAACGGUUCUCGCGUCGUCUGCCUUGCGUUCUGCCCACGGUUAGUGCUGCGUUUGUUGGAUGCGAAAAACGACUGUGCUGUGGCCGCUGCUGGAAACAGGGUGUCUUGUAGCGGAAAGUGCUGGCACUAUUGGCAAGGAUUCUCGUUGGAAGGCUCAAGCAGAUCGAGGAGCUGCACGGUACUUCUAAAAGCGUGCACAGCGAGCUCCAGAAGCUAUAAUACGACGAGAUUGUCAGUGAACUGUGCGAUGACUUUGACCUCGCAUUCAAUUCUUGGCACAUAUGUACAUAUGUACAUACAUACGUAUGAAAUAGUAGAGCU